UACGGAGGGUGCAAGCGUUAUCCGGAUUCACUGGGUUUAAAGGGUGCGUAGGUGGGCUGGUAAGUCAGUGGUGAAAUCUCCAGGCUUAACUUGGAAACUGCCAUUGAUACUAUCAGUCUUGAAUACCGUGGAGGUCAGCGGAAUAUGUCAUGUAGCGGUGAAAUGCUUAGAUAUGACAUAGAACACCAAUUGCGAAGGCAGCUGGCUACACGAGUAUUGACACUGAUGCACGAAAGCGUGGGGAUCAAACAGG
rnacentral:rRNA from 1 species